ACUGCUCAGUAACACGUGGCUAAUCUGCCCUUGGGACGAGAACAACCCCGGGAAACUGGGGCUAAUUCUCGAUCGAUGAAGAACUCUGGAAUGAGUCUCCAUCUAAAAAGAUUCACGUUAUCCUCGUGAAUCCGCCCAAGGAUGAGGCCGCGACCGAUCAGGUUGUUGGCGAGGUAAUGGCUCACCAAGCCUUUUACCGGUGCGGGCCGUGGGAGCGGGAGCCCGGAGAUGGGUACUGAGACAAGGACCCAGGCCCUACGGGGCGCAGCAGUCGCGAAACCUUUGCAAUACACGAAAGUGUGACAGGGCUAUCCCGAGUGCCAUCCGCUGAGGAAGGCUUUUACCCAGUCUUGAACGCUGGGGGAAUAAGGAGAGGGCAAGUCUGGUGUCAGCCGCCGCGGUAAUACCAGCUCUCCGAGUGGUGUGGAUGUUUAUUGGGCCUAAAGCAUCCGUAGCUGGCUAAGUCAGUCCUUUGUUAAAUCCACCGAAUUAAUCGUUGGAUCGCGGGGGAUACUGCUUGGCUAGGGGACGAGAGAGGCAGACGGUAUUUUCGGGGUAGGGGUGAAAUCCUAUAAUCCCGGGAAGACCACCAGUGGCGAAGGCUGUCUGCUAGAACGCGCCCGACGGUGAGGGAUGAAAGCUGGGGGAGCGAACCGGAUUAGAUACCCGGGUAGUCCCAGCUGUAAACGAUGCAGACUAGGUGUUUGGACGGCCACGUGCCGUUCUAGUGCCGCAGGGAAGCUGUUAAGUCUGCCGCCUGGGGAGUACGAUCGCAAGAUUGAAACUUAAAGGAAUUGGCGGGGGAGCAC
rnacentral:rRNA from 1 species